rnacentral:rRNA from 1 species
AGCUCCAAUAGCGUAUAUUAAAGUUGUUGCAGUUAAAAAGCUCGUAGUUGGAUUUCGGAGUGGGCGAGUUGGUCCGCCGCAAGGUGUGUUACUGGCUCGUUUUCUCUUUUUCGCAAAGACUGCGUGGGCUCUUCGUUGGGUGUGCGUAGGAUUUACGACGUUUACUUUGAAAAAAUUAGAGUGUUCAAAGCAGGCUAUUGCUUGAAUACAUGAGCAUGGAAUAAUGGAAUAGGACUUUGGUCCCAUUUUGUUGGUUUCUAGGACCGAAGUAAUGAUUAAGAGGGACAAUUGGGGGCAUCCGUAUUUCGUUGUCAGAGGUGAAAUUCUUGGAUUUACGAAAGACGAACAACUGCGAAAGCACUUGCCAAGAGUGUUUUCA